UCCUUUUUUAUUUUUUUUUCCUUCUUUUUCCUUUUAAAUUCCAGCAGAGUUUAGGCUCCCUGAGAAAUAGCUUCACCCUUUAGAAAAGUGCAGAGCCUUUUCCCUGAGUAGCAAAAUGUUGAUUUGCUACCACAGGGUUGAGUGAUGGUGAUUCCCUUAUUAAACUGCACUUAGAGGCAGCGACUGUCAGGCAGGGAUGGAGAACUUCUCCGAUAAGUUGGAGCUAUUCAUUAUUAAAUUAUCUUCAUUCACUUGAACAUCUCAUUUUCAUUGAACUAGAUGAAAAGUGCUCAAAGGCAGCUGCUGCAGCGGCUUGGAGGCUGCCAGGAGCAGCAUGCAAAUGUCACUGCUGGCCUUUCUGGCUGCAUCUGACCCUUCCCAUUGGAUGGAUGGACCUCGUGGCUGGUUUUAAAUCUCCUGGAGUUGCACCUGCUGAUGGCCUGACCUUGCAGAUCUGAUUCACCAGCUCUGAGACCUGGAGUUUGAGGAGAUUGACCCCACCAGGGAAUAAGCCUACAACCCCACUGGUCACUGAAAAUCUCUUUGCUUCGCUGCCCUGGGCUCUGUGAAGUCCUUCUCACCUCUUACCCACCACUACCGUCUUCUUCCUGGUGAGGAACCGUGGGCCCCUUGGACCGGCUCCCCAACAACUGUUGCUUUUCCUUGCCAGUGAAUCUCGCCCGAAGAAGCCGCUUUGAUCAAUGUACUUGGAUUUCAGCCCUCAGCCUUGAUCAAGGCAGGGGGAGGGACGAGAGAGCGAGUACUCGCAGGCUCUUUGGGGAUGAUCUGGAAAACGAAGCUCAUUCUCCGAAAAAACCUGCUUCAAAGUAAGAGGCGUUGCUGUCAGAAUAAGAGUGAAUCAGGCAGGCAGAGGAGGAGGAGGAGGAAGGCUGCUGGGUGCCCAGAGCCCCAGCUGGGAUAGGGCUGGUGUGAAUCCAGCACGUGGCACUGCUGUGGGGGCCGGAGCUGCUGAUGGCAGAGGGCAGAAACCCAUAGUUUGGGAGGUGGGGAGGGGGAAUCUACGUCUGCCCCUGCACUUAAUUCUGUGGCAAACUGGGCUUUCUGUACUCAUUAGCUUUUUUGACUCUCCCAGCUUCCCUGGGGGACCUUGGGAGUGAGAAAGUUUUCAGAGCUGAGAACGGACUGUGUUUGCUUCCUUGGGUCAGUGGUUUCCUCUCAGUCUUUAACUGGUGGGGAUGGUGCUGCAGGUCAGGUGUUGCAGACCUGAGGACAGCUCUGGAACAGGGGCAAGGUGGACAGAGCACCCCUUUUUUGCCAGCAGGGUCUGACCGUUUCAGCCAUAAGGUCUUUGUGUGGGAUGAAGGGUUGCAUAAGGCACUGCUCAAGCUUGGAGCAGAUCAGAGCUUCUGGUUAAUGGAAAUUAAUGGCCAGGAGGAGACUUCCAGAGACUUGCUGGCUUUGUUUCCCCUACCAGUGCCUGCAGGAAUACUGUGUCAGCAGCUGUGGCAGGAAUGGGCCCUUCCUUUGAGGGCUGCAUUACCUGGAGAGAAGCACAGGAAACCGAGCAGAGACACAGAACCUGGAGUUCCCCAUGAGCAGGGAAAAGCCCUGGCCAGAAACCACCCUCCAGCAACAACCUUCCUUGCUCCAGCAAUCCUCCUCCUUCUCCGUUCCUGCUCCCACUCCCUCUCUCCCACCUUGCUCAGGUGCACACACACACACCUCUCGCAUUUCCUUUUGGCUACAGAUGGCAGGCAGGAAAAUCAGCCAGCCAGAUGUGUUUUUCAUAGCUCCCAAGCCAGGCAUAACUAAACAUUUACAUUUAUUACCAAUUAGAGGGGAAACAGACUGUAGUUUUAUGUACUGGAUGUGUCUGGAUGUAUUUCGGUGUGUGACCUUACUAAAACCCCCCCUCUCCUCCAGCAACUAAAUCUCUCUUGGUUUGGAGCAAACCCCUGGGAAGCACCUGUAGCAAUGGACCCCAUCCCGGCAUUCCAUCACCCUCUGAUUGGAUGACGUGGGUGCUGUAGCAGCCCCUGACACUCGGCCCUGUGCAAGAAAGCCUGUGCAGGGGUUUGAUCCUGAGUGAUGUUGUGUAUCCCCAGGGCCCAGAGUGCCAUGGUGGAGGUGAUAUCCAUUAACUCCAUGUAUGGAUGUGACCACAGUGCAGUGGUCAAUGGAGGGCUCAUGAGUGCCCGGGGCCCGCAGCUCCCGAGCCAACAUCACAGCAGCUCUUUAACGAUGUGUGAGCCAACAGCAAAAUGCAAAUAAAUCCAUAACCAGACUCUGAGCCUUGCUGAGAGCAGGAGGAGAGUGGGGGAUAAAUGUGCACGGUGCUAGUGAUGUCCCAACCUUUACCAGCAGGGUCACUACGGGAUUGAUGUCCUAACAAAGACUGGAUCCUGGCUGGCAAUGGUCCAGCCCUGAGGUGGUCACAGUGCCACUGCCAUGGGCUCACCUCUGCCUGACCAACACCUGAGCCAGGGCUGUUCGAGGCACAGGGGUUCAGGACAGAGUUUGCAUGUGCCCACCAAGCCUUGGAUGGGCCAACAGACUUACAGUCAGGUUGAGAUGAGGCCUUAUUGUUUCUAGGGGCAUACUGGGUUUGCUGUACUGGGUCAAUCACUCCUGCCUCUGGGCAAUGGUUAAGGUGCAAAGAAAAGCAUCUCAGUCUCCUUCUUCAGGUCACCUUGGCAAGAGAGGAAGGAGAAAUGUGUGGUGAGGCCAGGGCAUGUUGGACAACAGUAUUCUUUAAACGAGAUUGUCUCAAAUUCAUCCUGAUACAGGAUGCUGCUGCUGGGGCAGCAGCCCAGACGUGGAGGGAGAGCCAUGGGCGAUGCCGUGCAGCGGUUGUGUGCAUCCCUCCGGGGAUGCUGGGGGGAAUUAUUCCAUCGUGGGGAGCUUCAGAAAUGCAAUAUUUCAUUAGAAUUCCAUUAAACUGUUCAAACAGGUGAUUAAGAGAGGGGUGAUGAUGCAAAUCGGAGCAAAGCAGGGGCAGAUUUCCACCUGAGCCGUGGCCGCAGGGCUGAGGUCAGCUCUGUGAGGGCAAGAUUAGGAAUGGAUAAAGCUGAGACGCUGAAGUGGGUAGGAAUGAAGGGCUGCAGUAUUUUGGGAGAGCUGUUGGAGAGUGGAAGAGUGGAAAAGGUCCACCCCAACCUCAGCCCAUGGAGGAACACGUUGAUAUUCUCUAAUAAGGGCUGCAUGGAGGGGCAGCAUCUGUGGCUCCAUGCAUGGAUUUGUCCCAUCAUCCUGCAGAUCAGCAAAAGCAGGUGAUGGUUUAACUGGAGAGCUGGAUUUAAGAUUCAAAAAUAAAGUAUUAUUUUUUUCCUCCUCUCCCUUAACUUUGCUGGAGCGUGACAGGGUGGGAGCUCUUGGCAGCUGGGAUGUUAAAUGUUUUUCCACAUGGUCUCUUGAUUAUUAAUGGAUUUUAGCACUUGACAAAGUAGAAAUUAGGAGAUAAAAGCUAUUAGAAACUAAUUUGGGUAAUCACUGAUUCUGUUCCCCCAGGAGCUAUUCUGCGAGCACUGCUCCCAUCGCCACUGCCGAGGCUCAGGAGAGAAGGAAUCUCUUCCUAAGGGAGUUCUGUGGGCUUUGGGGGACCCCCCCGAUUUACAGCCUCCUGAUGAGAUGACUUGGAUGGAGCAGGCACAAUCCAAACAUCUCUCUUCUUCCAGCAGCCUCCUGGGAUUUAUAGGAUUUCCCACCCCUGGACACUAUUUGGGGUGGUUUAUGUGCCAUACUUUUUUACUGUUAUGUUGGCAAAACACCCAUAGAAACCAGUUCGGGAAAACAAGGUGGGAGAUAAAUCCUUGGUGGAGUGGGCUCUCCCAGUGAUAAAAUGGGCUACAGGUGGAGAAAUAGGUCCCUGAGACCCUUUAUCUCCCUCAAUUCCCAUCUCCCUGAGUGGAUCGAUAAUGCCAGGGGCAAGGGAAAGGAGAGGAACUAUCGCAGGCAAUCAUAUUAAGGGAAAAGCUGGAAGGUGGUAACCGAUGUAGCAACCACUGCUGAUUUUGAGGCAGAUGGGCUGGGAGGGUUUGUGUAUCCCAGGAGGGUUUGUGUACGGAGAAGAGGAUGCCUGUAGGCUGGGAGAGCACUUUUAAAAAUAAUUUGACUGAUUUCUCUCCUUCUUUCUUUCCAUCCAGUCAGUCUCUGCUCCUGGCAUGUGUAGCAGGAGCAGGAGGUCUGUCUUGCAGAUUUGUCUGGGAUAUUAUUCCACAGAGCUUUACCCUCUAGCAAGACCCCUCCAAAAUGUAUCCUGUCAUCCCACCAAAAUUCAACUGUCUCAACCUUUGAUCCAGAAGCACAGCCCAGAGGUCCCCUGGGAGCAUUGUGGGGGGUUCAGUGUCCCAGGGGGGUUCUCUCCUGGGACCACUGUCCCAGGAUGGGGGGUCAGGGUCCAGCCUGAUGAGGUAAGUCCUCCAGCCAGGCUCCUGGCCAUGAAUCAGCCAUGCCCCUGGCUCCAGCAGGGCUGAUUUACGCCCGCUGAGGUGCCAGCCCAGGGCAGGGCACCCGUAUUUAAUGCAUGGUGGUAGCACUGCUGGCAGCAGCAGCUCCCAGCCCUGAGCCUGGGGAGGAAACAGCAAUUUGCCGUCGUCAUUCUCAGUCCCCAGCAAAUUUCUCUGCUUGCAGAAUGGGAUGCUGUGAAGAGGCUUUAUUUGAUGGUGUCUAAAGAGGUCUCCCCAGGGUCUCCUUGAGAGCUGGGAGCAGCUGAGGGCACUCAAGGAGGCCAAGAGGUAGUGCAGGCGGUGGGGUUGGGUGGGUAAGGUUGUGCUUUUCCAUCUUUGCUUAAGGAGGAGUCAGUGGGGAAGGAAGAAGGGAGCUGAGGAACUGGGAUCGGGGAUUCCUGAGAUCCCCACCAGUUUGAGCCACCCCAGGUCCUCACUGGGCUCCUAGUGGGGACACAGGAGGGUGGCUGGGAUACCUCCUGCAUACCUGGGUUCACAGAAACCUCCCUCUUACCUGCACUGUCCUGCUUCUCCUGCCUUCUUCAGAGACUGCGGCAGGAAGCUGAGGAGGAGGAAGAGGGAGGAAGAAGAUGAGGUUGUCAUCAUUUCAAGAGCCUGUUAAUUGUCCCCUCAUGCUCUCUAAGAAGUGGCCAUUUACCACAGGCCCUGUGAAUGCUUUCUGGAGAGAAAACACCAGGGAGCAUGGCAUGGGAGGAUGAGAGCCUCGAUGGAUUUGAAAGAGGAAAAACCCAGCCCACCGUCGGCAAAGGGAGAAAAUAGACCCAAAGAGAGAGAAGCUGAAAAUGCGUUGAAGCAGCUGAUGACAGCCCAAACAGCAGGAGAAGGCUCCUGCCUGCCAAUUAACGAGGCUCUGGUGCUAAUUUGCCACCUUGACUGCACUUCUGAGCUUGUCAGGAGAAGGGGGAGGAAAAAAAAAGAUGAGGCUAAAAAAGAGGUUUUGGCUCAUCUCUUGGCUAUGCAGAUGCCACUGGGCUUCAGAGAGGCAGUGGGAAGCAGGGAGGCUGAUGGCAAACCCCACCACCCACGAGCCUGGAGUGUGAAGAGAACAAUGACAAGUUUGUGGGCUUGUGUUGGCAGAGCAGCUCCGGAGCAGGACACUGCCCAACCAGGGGAUGCUGGUUUCCCAGGGAUCACAUCCCACCAUCUGCUGGGUUAGUCGGGAGAGUGAGUGGUGAUCCCAUGCGUGCCCAGGGGCAUCUCUGGUACCUGUGGUGAAACUGUGUUAUAAGGAAGAAGGUGGAGCAGUCCCGUGCUGGCAUGGAGAGGUCUGCAGGCAAACUGGUAUCGCCUGCCUCCCCCAGAAAUGCUGUCAAACAGCAGAGCAGAUCUGUUGGCAGCUGCCUGGUGGUUCUGUGCACCUAACAGAGCCAGAGGAGCCCUGGGAAAAUGCUCAGCAUAAAGCCUCCUGCCAAGCCAAACCUGUGAUUCUCACUUCUUGCCCAUCCUGCAGCCCAAACCAAGAGACCAUGGUGAUGGAUUUCAAGCAACAUCUGCACCAGCAUGCAGUUUGCACGCAAAGAAAGAGUGUUACCCUCCUCAGCCCUCCCUCCUCUCCUGUGAUGUUUUAUUCCCUGCACAUUCCAUGUUCUCCCAGGCUGACACAGCAUCAGCUGGGAGCUAUGAGAGGGUAAACUGAGGCAGGCUAGAGCAAGGAUGCAGAUUUAGCCCCACAGCAUCUCUCCAUCCUGGCUCGUCAUGGAAAAACUGUCCUGGCUGUUUCGGCACAGCCUGAUAUGGUGAUGCCCUUGGCACACAGGGCUGAAGGCUCAGCCAGUGCUGCAGAAAAGGGGUGAAAACAGGAAGGAGGAAAAGGGUGUAAGUUAGAGAGCUGGAGCUGUGAGCUGUUUGGUUCAGCUGUAGCCCAUCACUGGCAGUCUCAGGGUGGGACACGGAGGUGGGACCAGCCCCCAUCUGGGAGCCGUGAGCUCUUCCUGGGGAGAACUCUGCAGAUAACCCCCUCCUGCUGCUGGGCCUGGGGGUGAAACAUCCCAGCCUUUCCCCGGCUUCCUUUUCCCUGGCAGAGCUGCUGAAUAAAUGUGUCCAGAGGGAACCGAGGUGUCUGCAGUCAAGCAAGUGAGGAGCUCUGCUCGUUAUUUAAAGGCAGUUUUCUGGCUUUCGUGCUGUAGAGAAUCUCCUGUGAACACAGAGCCCAGAUUGAAAGUAAAGAGCCUUCAUCCACCUCUGUCCUUGCACACCCGCCUGUCUCUGGAUCCAGCACCAAGGCAGAGAAGCCUGAGGUCCAUCCCUCAGUGGACGCCUCAAGAGGCUCCAUGAGAUGCUGCCAAUCAUCCCAACAACUCUUGUGUUCAUGUUCAGGUGGGUUUAGGAUGUGGGACUGGUUCAGGGCACUGAAAAACACAGUAGGAAAUGCUCCGUCUGGAGAAGACAGAGGAUGGAGUAGAUCAAUGUUAGCCUGACACAUGGCCCGUGUGAUGAUGCGGAGAAGAAUCAUAGCAUGGUUUGGGUUGGAAGAGACCUUAAAGCUCACCUGGUUCCAAACCUCCUGCCAUGGACAGGGACCAGGUUGAUCAGAGCCCCACCCAACCUGGCCUUGAACACUUCCAAGGAUGGGGCAGCCACAGCUUCUCUGGGCAACCAAGAAGUGAUGUGAAGGCCCAGGAAGAUAAGUAGCAGAAGCCAAAAUAGCCUUACUAGCUGGGAAGCCUCCCAGCAGCCCUGCCUGCUCGGGAGCAUUGCCAGCCUUCCCACCUAUACCCUCCUCAUCCCUGGGCUGAUGUCUCCUGGCUUCCCCUGGGGAGCAGAGAUGAUGGCUUUGACUUCCCAUUUCCUCCUGGUGUGUUUAAUUGCCUGAUUUUUUUCUUUUUUCCUUUAGGACUGGGAGGCAAGGGAGGAGAGGUGGGCAAAGGAAGACAGAUGUGUGGAGAAGAGACAUCCAGGUGACAGAUUGAGGGAUGCUACAGCCACAAGAGCCAGGCUGAUGGAUUGAUAGAUUAGACAGGGAAUAUAAAUAGCAAGUGUGGUUUAUCUAUCCCAGUUUUAUUUUCCUCUCACCUAUCUAUUUAUCUCUCCUGGUGUUAUUUUACUCAUGUUUAUCUCUUUAUCUGCCCAGCCCGAGGAUGGAGGAGAGUCGGGUGACAGAAGCAGGAUGGAUGAGUUUGGGUUACCACUGCUUUUGCAGCAUCCAAGCAGGCAAGUCUUGACAGGCGGGGAGGAUUAGGGAGCAGGCUCAGAUCCACACACUGCUACACUUUUCACACUCCUCUCCUUUUCCCUGGACCAUCCCCUCUGUCCACACCUCCUGCUUUGGGGAUGCUGUGGGUCAGAGGGUUGAUUCCUUCCUCUCCCUAGCUCAUCCUCAUCCUAGGAAUGAGGGCAUCCAGUGAAGCAGUGAGCUCCACUUGUCUGGGUACCAAUCAUUCCCAUCUGACAGACGGGCAGCUCCACUGCUUGAUAUUCCAGUCAGGCACUGAGCACGGCAGUGGCAGCAGCACUGGGAAGGAGGGAGAGAGGGAGGGAGCCUCACAGCACGGGAAAAGCCAGGG